AUAUUAUUAUUUACGGUUUUAUAAUAUUAUUUACCAAAAUAUUUACCAUACAAAAAACAAAAUUUGUUCCCAAAAUAGUUGUAUAUGUAACGUAAAUUAAUGAAUUAAUUCUAAUAAGUUUUUCUUUCCUCCUCAAACAAUUGGAAAACAAGACUAUCAAAGUAUAAGUUGGGCGGAAGAAAACUUUAGCAAUUACUUUGACCCACGCAAAACCAAAAGCCAAAAAUAGCUUCGAUUCUCACGCAAAACCAAGGGAAAAACCGUGCACCACCGCACCGGAUCUCCCAUCCUCUACCGUUGCUCCACUAUAAUGCCGCUCCACUGUAUCGCAACCUCCGAUGAACACCGUCAGUCCCACCGCCGUUGUCAAUUCCGAGGUUAAGGGACAUGUUUGCUUACUGCUAGGUGAAACAUCCAACAAUUAAGGUAGAACAUAUUCAAGUGUUAUCAAGCACAAGUAUGUAUGGAGGAGGUAAACUCGGAGAGUUUGAUAGGAUUUUACUGUUUAUUGCGUCAUGUGGCUAUUUUCUUGCUUUCGCUUUCUCAGACAAGCCUUUGCAUAUUUAAGCAAUCGAUAGAGUGUGAAAUGGAUGAUUCAGUUCCAGUUUUGGUCGCGUUAUUUGGUUGUAUGGCUGGUUAUUUCUGAGAGUUUUUUGUAUUUCCUUGAGCCUUAUGUCUUUUCUUGUUGAUGAUCUGGUUAACCUUUCUAUUGCCCAUCUACUCUUAUGUAUUUUCAUGAUCUUGGGAUUGUUUCUGAAUCUAGUUUGACGCAGUUUGGAGAUAGAGUGUUUGAUUGCUCUUGGGAUUAUUAAAUUUCUGGACCUGAUUUGAUGAAGUUAAUUUUUUAACAAAGCACCCACGUACUCUAAAAAUACGAUUGACGAGCUAAGGGAGAGAUGGAUCUAAUACGUUACCGAAUAUCACCAACCAAAUUACGAAGAUGAUGAUAAUGAUGAUCUAGUAGUCUGUUCCUGCUGCAGACGAUGUUGCUGCAGACGAUGUUGUUGCUGCUGUUACGGUCCUGUUACGCUGCUGUGACGCUGCUGAUACUCGGUUGUACCUGCUGCAGACUCUGUUGUACCUGCUGCAGGGGCUGCUGUUGCUGGAGAAUUUGAUCGCUGUUGCUGUUGAGUUUUUUAUUUUUUUAUUUUUACAGUGAUAUUGGAUUUCUAUUUUUGCCCUACCUUGGGUAGAUUUUUUUUUUCCGUACCUUGUGUAGAUCAUUUAUUUUGUUAUUGAAUGAAUGAAUAAUAUUAUUUUGUUAUUGAAUGAAAGGAUUUUUGGAAA